rnacentral:rRNA from 1 species
AGAGUUUGAUCCUGGCUCAGAUUGAACGCUGGCGGCACGCUUAACACAUGCAAGUCGAACGGUAACAGCUCCUGCUUGCAGGAGGCUGACGAGUGGCGGACGGGUGAGUAACGCGUAGGAAUCUAUCUUGGAGAUCGGGACAACCUUAGGAAACUGGGGCUAAUACCGAGUGUACCCUACGGGGUAAAGGUUGCAGUUUACUGCAGUCGCUCUGAGGUGAGCCUGCGUUGGAUUAGCUAGUAGGUUGGGUAAAGGCUGACCUAGGCGACGAUCCAUAGCUGGUCUGAGAGGAUGAUCAGCCACACUGGGACUGAGACACGGCCCAGACUCCUACGGGAGGCAGCAGUGGGGAAUCUUGGACAAUGGGGGCAACCCUGAUCCAGCGAUGCCGCGUGUGUGAAGAAGGCCUUAGGGUUGUAAAGCACUUUAGUUGGGGAGGAUUAGGUAUGAUUGAAUAGGUCAUGCUGAAGACGUUACCCAAAGAAUAAGCACCGGCUAACUCUGUGCCAGCAGCCGCGGUAAUACAGAGGGUGCGAGCGUUAAUCGGAAUUAUUGGGCGUAAAGGGUGCGUAGGUUGACUACUAAGUGAGAUGUGAAAUUCCUGGGCUUAACCUG